UACGUAGGGGGCAAGCGUUGUCCGGAUUUAUUGGGCGUAAAGAGCGUGUAGGCGGCUUUACAGGUCCGUUGUGAAAACUCGAGGCUCAACCUCGAGACGCCGGUGGAAACCGUAAGGCUAGAGUCCGGAAGAGGAGAGUGGAAUUCCUGGUGUAGCGGUGAAAUGCGCAGAUAUCAGGAGGAACACCGCAGGCGAAGGCAGUGUCCUGGCGCGUACCUGACGCUGAGGUGCGAAAGCUAGGGGAGCGAACGGG
rnacentral:rRNA from 1 species